CUCGAGGCCAGAUCUUUCCGGUUGAUCCCGCCGGACCCGACCGCUAUCGGGGUAGGGCUAAGCCAUGGGAGUCGAACGCCCCGCCGCUGCGGGGCGUGGCGGACGGCUGAGUAACACGUGGCUAACCUACCCUCGGGACGGGGAUAACCCCUCGGGAAACUGGGGCUAAUCCCCGAUAGGCGGGGGGUGCCUGGAAGGGUCCUCCGCCGAAAGGGGCCGCGGGGGGUUAUCGCCCGCGGUCCGCCCGAGGAUGGGGCUGCGGCCCAUCACGGUAGUUGGCGGGGUAAUGGCCCGCCAAGCCUACGACGGGUAGGGGCCGUGAGAGCGGGAGCCCCCAGAUGGGCACUGAGACAAGGGCCCAGGCCCUACGGGGCGCACCAGGCGCGAAAACUCCGCAAUGCGGGCAACCGUGACGGGGCUACCCCGAGUGCCCCCCUUGGGGGGGCUUUUCCCCACUGUAAGUAGGCGGGGGAAUAAGCGGGGGGCAAGACUGGUGUCAGCCGCCGCGGUAAUACCAGCCCCGCGAGCGGUCGGGGUGUUUACUGGGCCUAAAGCGCCCGUAGCCGGCUCGACAAGUCCCCGCCUAAA
rnacentral:rRNA from 1 species